rnacentral:rRNA from 1 species
AACGCGAAGAACCUUACCUACCCUUGACAUGCCAGGAAGCCCACUGAGAGGUGGGUGUGCCCGAAAGGGAGCCUGGACACAGGUGCUGCAUGGCUGUCGUCAGCUCGUGUUGUGAAAUGUUGGGUUAAGUCCCGCAACGAGCGCAACCCUUAUCCUUUGUUGCCAGCGGUCCGGCCGGGAACUCAAAGGAGACCGCCAGUGAUAAACUGGAGGAAGGUGGGGAUGACGUCAAGUCAUCAUGGCCCUUACGACCUGGGCUACACACGUGCUACAAUGGGCGGUACAAAGGGUUGCCAAACCGCGAGGUGGAGCUAAUCCCAUAAAACCGUUCGUAGUCCGGAUUGGAGUCUGCAACUCGACUCCAUGAAGUCGGAAUCGCUAGUAAUCGUGAAUCAGAACGUCACGGUGAAUACGUUCCCGGGCCUUGUACACACCG